GAUGAACGCUGGCGGCGUGCCUAAUACAUGCAAGUCGAGCGAACAGAUGAGGAGCUUGCUCCUCUGACGUUAGCGGCGGACGGGUGAGUAACACGUGGAUAACCUACCUAUAAGACUGGGAUAACUUCGGGAAACCGGAGCUAAUACCGGAUAAUAUAUUGAACCGCAUGGUUCAAUAGUGAAAGACGGUUUUGCUGUCACUUAUAGAUGGAUCCGCGCCGCAUUAGCUAGUUGGUAAGGUAACGGCCUACCAAGGCAACGAUGCGUAGCCGACCUGAGAGGGUGAUCGGCCACACUGGAACUGAGACACGGUCCAGACUCCUACGGGAGGCAGCAGUAGGGAAUCUUCCGCAAUGGGCGAAAGCCUGACGGAGCAACGCCGCGUGAGUGAUGAAGGUCUUCGGAUCGUAAAACUCUGUUAUUAGGGAAGAACAAAUGUGUAAGUAACUAUGCACGUCUUGACGGUACCUAAUCAGAAAGCCACGGCUAACUACGUG
rnacentral:rRNA from 1 species